UACGAGGGGGGCGAGCGUUGUUCGGAAUUACUGGGCGUAAAGCGCACGUAGGCGGCCUUGUAAGUUAGAGGUGAAAGCCCAGGGCUCAACCCUGGAAUUGCCUUUAAGACUGCAUCGCUUGAACACGGGAGAGGUGAGUGGAAUUCCGAGUGUAGAGGUGAAAUUCGUAGAUAUUCGGAAGAACACCAGUGGCGAAGGCGGCUCACUGGACCGUUGUUGACGCUGAGGUGCGAAAGCGUGGGGAGCAAACAGG
rnacentral:rRNA from 1 species